AUGUCGCCGGCGGCGGCGCCGCCGCUGGAGGACGAAAACUUACUCUCCGAGAUCCUCCUCCGCCUCCCCGCGCUGCCAUCCACCCUCCCCCGCGCCUCCCUCGUCUGCAAGCGCUGGCGCCUCCUCGUCUCCGACCCCGGCUUCAACCGCCGCUUCCGCCGCCGCCACCGACGCAGGCCUCCCCUCCUCGGUUACUUCAUCCACGACAGCCGAGGCAUCUCCUACGAACGUACCAUGGAUUCCCCCGACCGCGUCCCCGCCGGGCGCUUCUCCUUGCAGCUCGACCACAGCUACGGCUUCUCGCUCCUCGGCUGCCGCCAUGGCCUUGUGCUCAUCUCCAACGGUACACGGAAGCAAGUCCUGGUGUGGGACCCCGUCACCGGUGACCAGCACCGCAUCGCCUUUCCCCCAUGGUUCGACGGGAUCAAAAACCAGAUUCAUGGGGGAGUGCUUCGUGCUGCCGGCGAAGCGGACCACUUCCAGGUGGUCCUGGUACAGGCCACCAUAUGGGACAAACAGCAUUUGCAAGUGCUCGCCUGCGUUUAUUCGUCAGAGACCGGCAGAUGGGGCGAUCUUAUCUUAACACCAAUUCCAGCCCCGGCUUACUGUACGGGCUUGUCGCCCGUCUUGGUUGGGAAUUCCUUUUACUGGCGUCUUGCUGGGUGUUUUUGUGCUGUUCUUGAGUUUGAUUUGGAGAGGCAGAGCUUAGCGGUGAUACAAGUGCCGGUUGGUGAGGAGAAUAGCUUCGCUGUUAUGCGAGCCGAGGGUGGUGGGCUAGGUUUACUCUCCGUGUCAGGCCUCACCGCACAAUUAUGGAAGAGGAAUACCGACUGUGAUGGUGUUGCAUCAUGGGGGAUGGGAAGGACCAUUCAACUGGACAAGCUACUUUCUCCUUAUUCAGAUGAGACUGCGCCCCUAUUCAUAUUAGGGUUUGCAGAUGAAAAUAAUGUGGUGUUCCUGACGGGUGGUCAUGGUGUCAUCAUGGUACAGCUUGAGUCAUUGCAAUCCAAGCAACUUUGCAGGAUUGACAACAUUUUUUAUCAACAUCAUCAUGCAUUCGAAAGUGUCUAUGCUGCAGGAAUAGGCAUUGGCCGUGAACAUGAUGGGGCUGAACUUGUGGGCAAUCCACAAGUGAUUGCCUGUUAG
rnacentral:rRNA from 1 species